rnacentral:tRNA from 1 species
GGGGUUGUAACUCAGUUGGUCAGAGUACCACGUUGACAUCGUGGAAGUCGCUGGUUCGAGCCCAGUCAACCCCA